rnacentral:rRNA from 1 species
AUCUUGCGCAAUGGGCGAAAGCCUGACGCAGCAACGCCGCGUGGGGGAUGACGGCCUUCGGGUUGUAAACCUCUUUCGACAUCGACGANNCCUUCGGGUGACGGUAGGUGUAGAAGAAGCACCGGCUAACUACGUGCCAGCAGCCGCGGUAAUACGUAGGGUGCGAGCGUUGUCCGGAAUUAUUGGGCGUAAAGAGCUCGUAGGCGGUUUGUCGCGUCGGCCGUGAAAACCUGCCGCUUAACGGUGGGCGUGCGGUCGAUACGGGCAGACUUGAGUUCGGUAGGGGAGACUGGAAUUCCUGGUGUAGCGGUGAAAUGCGCAGAUAUCAGGAGGAACACCGGUGGCGAAGGCGGGUCUCUGGGCCGAUACUGACGCUGAGGAGCGAAAGCGUGGGGAGCGAACAG